rnacentral:tRNA from 1 species
AGAGGCUUAGGAUAGCGUUAGACCGGGAGCCUUCAAAGCUCUAAGCAGAAGUUAAAAUCUUCUAGCCUCUG